rnacentral:lncRNA from 1 species
UGGGGUCGGGAUACCCAGGUUCUUCUCUCCUUUGUCGCCCAUCCACCUCCUACCUGUGCUGUUUGUCCUUCUCAGGGUUCCUUGUCCCAGGUUCGCCCAGGAGGCAGCAGUGAGUGGCUGUCCAGUCCCCAAAGGUCUUUCUGCGCCCCCCUCCAACCUGAGCUUAGUGAGGGCAAGAAGUCCCAGCCACCUCACCUCCUCCUGCUCCUCCUCUUCUGUCUUUUCAGCCUGGCCCCGAGGCCCAGUGAUUGAAAACACAGGGGGUAAAGAGAGUGGACGGUGAAGGAAAGCACUCAGUCUUGUGAGGCAGAGAGGAGAGGGGUGUCGGCACACAGACGCUCUUGGUGCCUUCUCAUUCAGGCAGCGAGGAAAACAGAAGCAACCGGCAGAUGAGCACUGUUAAACACAAACCCAGUGCUACCAGUUGAGUCACAUAGAACUGGAUGGGAGACAUGGGCAUUAGGUGGGCCAAGCUGGCAUGCUUGAAAAAUUCUCACUGGGGGGACUUCCUGGUGGUCCAGUGGUUAAGAAUCCACCUUGCAGAGCAGAGGACGCAGGUUUGAUCCUGGUCGGGGAACUAAGUUCCCACAUGAGGAGAAGCAACUAAGCCUGCACAAUGAGAGAGUCCAUGCUCUGCAAAUGGAGAUCCCAAGUGCCACAGCCGAGACCCGACACAACCAAAUAAAUAAAAAAAAAUUUCUGAUUUUUGUGGUUUGCUGCUGUCCGUUGUGAUGAGAGAGAUUGUUGGAGCAGGUCACGCACAGAGAAGAAAAGAGCAAAUGAAUGAACAAGGCUGCGAGGAAAAAAGUGGGACCCAGACGGAAGGAGGAAGACGUAGGAGAAGGGAGGAUGUGAGCACAGCUGGAGAAGGAGACUCGGUGUUGAUCCGUGAGAGCGGAAGCCAUGACGUCAUCAGAAAGAAUGUCAAAGAAACUGGGACAAGAAGAAUUAACAUCUAAUAUUUAACAUUUAUUGACUUGGACUAAGCCCCGUGUCAGGUAAUUGAAAGAUAUACUUUCUUAUUUUGCUUUUGCAACAGUCCCGGGAGGUGGGAUCAUCACCUCCAUCUUGCAUGGAGGGGAAUCACAUAUGGAGAGGUCGAUAAAUGACCCCAAGUCAGGGAUUACGGACGGGUUUGCUCCUGACUCCAGCCUUCUUGUGAAUGAACGCUCUUGUAUUUGACAAACACUUUAGGAUUU